rnacentral:rRNA from 1 species
GAUGAACGCUGGCGGCGUGCUUAACACAUGCAAGUCGAACGGAAAGGCCCAAGCUUGCUUGGGUGCUCGAGUGGCGAACGGGUGAGUAACACGUGGGUGAUCUGCCCUGCACUUCGGGAUAAGCCUGGGAAACUGGGUCUAAUACCGGAUAGGACCAUCGUGUUGUGGCGGUGGUGGAAAGUUUUUUCGGUGUGGGAUGAGCUCGCGGCCUAUCAGCUUGUUGGUGGGGUAAUGGCCUACCAAGGCGUCGACGGGUAGCCGGCCUGAGAGGGUGUACGGCCACAUUGGGACUGAGAUACGGCCCAG